rnacentral:rRNA from 1 species
UGGGGAAUUUUGGACAAUGGGGGCAACCCUGAUCCAGCAAUGCCGCGUGUGUGAAGAAGGCCUUCGGGUUGUAAAGCACUUUUGUCCGGAAAGAAAUCGCCCUGGCUAAUAUCCGGGGUGGAUGAUGGUACUGGAAGAAUAAGCACCGGCUAACUACGUGCCAGCAGCCGCGGUAAUACGUAGGGUGCGAGCGUUAAUCGGAAUUACUGGGCGUAAAGCGUGCGCAGGCGGUUGUGCAAGACAGAUGUGAAAUCCCCGGGCUUAACCUGGGAAUGGCAUUUGUGACUGCACGGCUAGAGUGUGUCAGAGGGGGGUAGAAUUCCACGUGUAGCAGUGAAAUGCGUAGAUAUGUGGAGGAACACCGAUGGCGAAGGCAGCCCCCUGGGAUAACACUGACGCUCAUGCACGAAAGCGUGGGAGCAAACAGGAUUAGAUACCCUGGUAGUCCACGCCCUAAACGAUGUCAACUAGUUGUCGGGUCUUAAUUGACUUGGUAACGCAGCUAACGCGUGAAGUUGACCGCCUGGGGGAGUACGGUCGCAAGAUUAAAACUCAAAGGAAUUGACGGGGUCAUAGCUGUUUCCUG